UACGAAGGGGGCUAGCGUUGCUCGGAAUCACUGGGCGUAAAGCGCGCGUAGGCGGGUUGUUAAGUCAGGGGUGAAAUCCUGGAGCUCAACUCCAGAACUGCCUUUGAUACUGACGGUCUUGAGUUCGGGAGAGGUGAGUGGAACUGCGAGUGUAGAGGUGAAAUUCGUAGAUAUUCGCAAGAACACCAGUGGCGAAGGCGGCUCACUGGCCCGAUACUGACGCUGAGGCACGAAAGCGUGGGGAGCAAACAGG
rnacentral:rRNA from 1 species